rnacentral:misc_RNA from 1 species
GCCUAAACAAAAUUGUUAUGAGAGCCGCCAGCCAAUGUCUAGGGGCACUACAGAAAUGAUGUCAUAUCUCUGCCAAGAAAAGAAAAUGAGUAAUCAAAAUUCCAUUACUGUUGAGGUGAGGUUAAGCAAGGACUCCAGAGCACUUGGAUGAAACUUCCGAGCAAAGAGGUAACAAACAGAUGUCAUGGCUGAAUUGUAUGAACAUUCUGUUCCAUUAUUCCGAACAGACUGUAUUAAACUCUCUGUAACGUUAAUUCCGUUAUAUGUUGCUGGAUGGGGUCCCCCCAGCGACCAAUCAACCCAAGUUACUGUGCGAUUAGCAUUAUGCGAACCAUGGAACAUGUUCAGAUAAGUUGGAAUGUAAUGCUCAUCAGGAUAGCAAGCAGGCUUACAAUAUUUCUUGAAGAUAGCAUAGUACUUGGUGUCUGAGACUAUAUGAACAGCCAGAGCCCGUUGGAUCUCAAACCAUUGAGACCCCUUCCUCCACUGAAAGAGCUUAAUAUCAGG